UUUCAGCUAAAGUAGGCCAAGACUCCAAACAUUGAUGAAUCUGUAUUCCCAGCUCCGGAACAAAUGCGAAUUGUGACUCGUGAAAGACGCCAAAUAUCAAGGCUAAAAUAGCCAUUACAUGUAGCCAACUGCAGACUAACAUUAACAUUGAAUUCUUUGCAAUGCUCGGCUAAUCGGUUCUUGGAAAUAUUGAAGUGAUAUGAAAAUUGCUUCCUCAGUUCGAAUUGUUCUACUUCCUUGAUGGGGACAGGUAUUCAAGUAUGAAUCAAAAACCUCUUGAACAUUUUUACCCUUUAAGUUGCUGUCUUCUUCAAUACUUUCUUCCAACCCAGCGAGCCCACCAAAUGCAAUCAACAAAUGCCUGAAAGUUGGCAAAGAAAGCUGUGAUGAGUUUAUAAUCUGACCAUGUUCUGAGGUACCGAUUAAAUAAUCAUAGCCACCCUUCCUUGUACGGACAAUCAUUGAACACCAACACCGAGCUGAUAUUUGAAGCAUACCGCACUCUAUAGCCCCAAUACAUUCCUGAUUCUUCCUUAGGUUUGGACAAUGAUACAACCUCAUGUGGUAUAUCACCAUCCAAAUUGCGGUUGCUUCCCAUUGCCACAGUUACUCUAAUGCCAGGUUCAAGAGCUUGAUCAACAACAACAUUCUUACUCAAACCCACGUCAACCAGCGUUUCCUUAGAGUUUGGAGCUUUUUCAUUUGAUGUGACACCCUCCCGAUAUGGAGCCC
rnacentral:misc_RNA from 1 species